AAUCUCUCCUUUCCCUUUCUUCUCCUUCCCCUCUCUCUCUCCCUCCCUUCCAUAACCCAUCUUGUUCCCCACUCCUCCAAAAAUCCACUUUUUUCUCCCCUUUAUUUCCCCAUUCCAAUGUCCAUCUUCGCCCACUAUUAGCUCUACCUCGAGAAGAACCUGUCACUACCCCCAUAGCUGAAGAAAAAGAACAAGAAGAAGAGGUUCCAAUUGAGUUACCUACAUCUUAUUCUUCCUUUUCUUCUUCUUCUCCUCUCCAAACUGCCACCACCGUUUUGCUCUCCGGUGUCAUUGCUGCCUUCUUGUUUCGAUCCAUU
rnacentral:lncRNA from 1 species